GAUGAGCGAGAUGUUGAUGAUGAAUAUCGUGUUGUUGUCGAUGCAGAUGAAUCGAAUCGUGGCGGAGAGGUGUUGAAGGUGCUGAUUCGAGGAUGAUGAGGAUUGUGCGAUGAAGAUGAUUGUUGUGAUGUGAAGUAGUUACAAAAAAAGAUCACAGAGCAGGGAUAACUCAGAGAGAGGGUUUAGUAGAUGAAGUUUCAGAAUUUUAGUGGCGAAUGGUGAAGAAUGAAGAUCGGUGGAAUCAGUGGAGAAAUGGAGGAGUGAACAAAAAUGGUGGAAACAGAGUGGUUCAGGAAGAGAAGGAAAAAUCGUGAAGGUGUCGACGAGUGAGAAGUGAAGAGAUUGAAGAAAAUGGUUAAUGGACGUGGAGAGGAAUGAUUGAAGAUGAGGGAUGAGUUAUAUAGGGGUUUCUCAAGGUUGAAUGUAGAUUUUGAAUGAUGUACUUCAUUGGCAGAUAUGGAGCAGAACUGGGUCAAAUUGCAGGCUGCCUGGUGUGUUGGGAUAACUUGAAGAUGAAUGAAAGGCUUUGAAUUCAAUCAUGAUGCGAUGCGCACA